CCUACGGGUGGCAGCAGUGGGGAAUAUUGGACAAUGGGGGGAACCCUGAUCCAGCCAUGCCGCGUGUGUGAAGAAGGCCCUCGGGUUGUAAAGCACUUUCAGUGAGGAAGAACGCCUGGUGGUUAAUACCCAUCAGGAAAGACAUCACUCACAGAAGAAGCACCGGCUAACUCCGUGCCAGCAGCCGCGGUAAUACGGAGGGUGCGAGCGUUAAUCGGAAUUUACUGGGCGUAAAGCGCGCGUAGGUGGCUUGAUAAGCCGGUUGUGAAAGCCCCGGGCUCAACCUGGGAACGGCAUCCGGAACUGUCAAGCUAGAGUGCAGGAGAGGAAGGUAGAAUUCCCGGUGUAGCGGUGAAAUGCGUAGAGAUCGGGAGGAAUACCAGUGGCGAAGGCGGCCUUCUGGACUGACACUGACACUGAGGUGCGAAAGCGUGGGUAGCAAACAGGAUUAGAUACCCUAGUAGUC
rnacentral:rRNA from 1 species